AUUGAACGCUGGCGGCAGGCCUAACACAUGCAAGUCGAGCGAGCGGCGGACGGGUGAGUAACGUCUGGGAAACUGCCUGAUGGAGGGGGAUAACUACUGGAAACGGUAGCUAAUACCGCAUACCAUCAGAUGUGCCCAGAUGGGAGUAGCUAGUAGGUGGGGUAACGGCUCACCUAGGCGACGAUCCCUAGCUGGUCUGAGAGGAUGACCAGCCACACUGGAACUGAGAAACGGUCCAGACUCCUACGGGAGGCAGCAGUGGGGAAUAUUGCGCAAUGGGCGCAAGCCUGAUGCAGCAAUGCCGCGUGUGUGAAGAAGGCCUUCGGGUUGUAAAGCACUGUCAGCAGGGAGGCGUUACCCGAAGAGGAAGCACCGGCUAACUACGUGCCAGCAGCCGCGGUAAUUC
rnacentral:rRNA from 1 species